AUUAAGGAAAGGCCUAUUGAGAGACACUGAAAAGUUUUACUUGAUUAGUCUCAAUUUCCAGCCACCAUUAGCUGCUUUAAACAGGCCCGAGGUGACUACAAAUGAGCGUCAUCGCUUGGGCAAUAUUUACAACUUAGUUUCAAAACACAAUUAAAAAGAACUUGCACGGGAAAUGACAACAGAAAGGCCGUGCAACAGUGCAAACUGGGGUGUCUGACCGGGAAAUGCUCCACUGCAUGACUGAUGUGACCAGGCUCCGUAGCCGCGUGCACUGGUUACGAGCUACGCUCCUCUGGCUUCCUCCGGAGUCCUGUCUGUUCAGAGCUCCUGCAGACAGUGCAAUUUCUCAUUAUAUGGACCUUACAUCUCACAUCUGCAACAAGAUGGAGCUUACAAAGAGGUUCGUUUUUAAUGGAACUGUACCUGCUAUGUUAAAGAGGUUCUUGUAUUGAUACAAACAGCAGCCGCUAUUAAAUAGUGCAGCUAUUUAUUUACAACUAACAAUGGCAUAGACUUAAGUUCCAGGGGG